GACUUUCUUUUCAAAGCCUCCGCCACCCCCACCCUCCUGGAGCAGUGCGGUCAAGGCCACUUUACAGACGGGGAAACUGAGAUCUGCCCGAGGUGCAGCCGGGCAGGCCGGCCUGUGGCCCCCACCACCGCCCGGAGCGCAGCAGGAACGCCCGUCGCAUUUCUGGGAUUUGAAAGGACUUUCCCAUCCGCCCUCUCUUACCGGCGGGCAUGUCAGUGGGGCUGCUGUGGCCGAGUUCUGGCCAAUGGAGGUGAUGGAUGCACCUCACACUCUAAACCUUCCCCGGUCUGCUGGAUGGAGGCAAAGGACCUACUAGAUGAUGGGGCCACAGGUGGACGAGCUUGGACACUGCAGGGUCAGGCAGAAGGUCAUCACUGACCAGGGACAUCCAGAUUGGCCUCUGGGUACGCGGGCCUCUCACUGUUGUGGCCUCUCCCGUUGUGGAGCACAGGCUCCGGACGCGCAGGCUCAGCGGCCAUGGCUCACGGGCCCAGCCGCUCCGCGGCAUGUGGGAUCUUCCCGGACCGGAGCACGAACCUGUGUCCCCUGCAUCGGCAGGCGGACUCUCAACCACUACGCCACCAGGGAAGCCCUAAAGCCACUCUUUAAAAGUGGGUUGACCCUACCCAUCCUGCAGCUCAAGAAAAUUAGGUUCUGAGGAGAGACCAGUGGAUCCGCCAGGCAGAGCUGGGACCUAGGACCCGGCAUAGUGGAGGGCCUGAGGAACCCAGGUCAGCCCAGGCCACUGCCCUGCCCGAGCGGCCACCCUCGUCUGGGUCAGAACUUCCAGGCCAGGUGGUCUCAAUUCCCGCCCCCCUCCUGCUUUCCAGCACAUGUUCAGACCCCUCGGUGGUGAUGGGGGCCCCUCCCCGGGAGGAAGGCUGGCAAGGACAUUGCUGGGGACCCAGGGACAAUCCGGACCAGGGCAGCACUAAUUUGCAUCCAAAAAGCCAGCUCCUGGAGGAUGCAACGCCUACUGGGCCCCAGGAUGGUUCUUGGUGGUGGGAAUGGGCACGACAACUUGGAGUGGUGGGGUGGGGUCUGUAGACCCUUUAACUGGUAGAUUGAACCCCAAGUAACAGAUUUGACCAAGGCUGAUAGCCUGAGCUGGAACAUAGUCGGAGGCGCCUGUCCAAACACAGCAGACCUGGCGGUGCCCUGAACUUUCAAGGCAGAGCACGGAAACCAGGAAAGGCAGUGGGGGGCGAGAGAAAGAAGGCGGGAGGCAUCCACCCAUGCGGCCCUUCCCCCAGGACUUCUCAGAGCCUUCAUCCCCUGCUGUGCACCGUGACUCCCAAGGGAGCAGCCACACUACACAGGGGUUCCCAAACUGACUUGCCCACAGAACCUCUGCUACAGGGGUGUCUCAGGAAACGAGUGCCACACACAACAGAACCGGGAGCGCUGGCUUGUGCAAAAGGCAUGCUUGGGCUCCAGCGGGCAGGUCCGGGUUGGCAGCCUUGCUCAGCAGCUUUGCCCUGUCACCCUCACUUCUCUGAGCCUUCACAGCAAGGUGGGGGCCCUCAUCCCCAGUAGCACCGGCUGAGCUGUGGAAAUGUGGCUCCCUGCCGCGGUCACAGUAUUACCUAGCCAGGUAAUUGUGAUCGAUGCUGCCUGUCUUUACAUUGAUUGGUCUGGACUAGUUAAGAAUAUCAUUCACGUCACCAUCGCACCCUGAGCACCUCACCUUUAAUAAGUAAGUGAAAAAGGCAAGUAGCGCUAUCUAGGUUUGGCUUUCCUCAAGCUCGAUCCAUGAAAAACAAUUAAGUUUCAUGGCCACUGUGGCUGUGAGAGACGGAUGCUGGAGGGUGGUAAGCAGAGCCCCCCAGAGGGAUGCCAGCCCCUUGCCGCCUGCAGCGGAACCACCUUGGGGGGUCACACUGGCUUCACGGCAGAGCACACAAGGGGCGUCCCCUCAUUCCCCAGUUCCCAAGGCCAUGACUGGGUCAGCCAAUGGCUCACGCAGGCGGCUGUGGGUGCCCGCACCCCAGGCAGGAGGGAGCUGGAAGCUGCAACACCCCACUUUAAGGGGCCGCCCAUUAAUUAAUUAGGCCCAAUGAAUAAUGCAUGCUGCCUUGUGCAUAUUUAUACAGCGUGCUAUGGAUAGUAUACAUUCUAGUCCGAACACCUCACAAAUAAUUCACAACCCACUCCUUCCCCGGGCUCCAGGGGAACCUGGCCGGUGCUUCGGCUAGGGCUCGUGGGUUGCUUCCAACAGCCAAAUUUUACAUUUCAUUAUAAAUGGCUUUGCUGGGCAUGUCGGUAACUUUUACAUUUCCAUCCACUUUAUUAUUAAUGGCUUUCCCGAACUGUAGCAGCCCAACGCUGCACACAAUGCGUUAUAAAUAUUUGAUCCGGC